rnacentral:lncRNA from 1 species
CUUAAGUGUCGAUAUUUCAAAAUUGAGAUUUAUUCAUAAUCUGAACACUGAAUAAAUAUGCUUUUCAUUGAUGUAUGGUUUAUUAGGAUAGGACAAUAUCAAUGGCAUUGUUCUUAGCAAUGCAUAUUACUAAUCAUAAAUGAAAACUUUAAAUAUUUAUGAUAGGACCCAUACAAUUUUUUUUUUUGGUUAUUGUUUCAAAUAUACCCCAGCGCCUUGGUUUUGUGGUCCAGUCACUAAUGACAUUGCAUGGCAUUACUAAGUUUGUACACCCUAUAUAUAAUAAACAAUCAUAGUGUAACAUACAACCCAUUUGUACAACAUAUAAUUUACUUGAUCUGCCAAUAAGAGCAGCUAGAACACUUACUAGAAACCAAUAUUGUAGCGACUGCAGCAGUUUUUUCACCGUAUAUAUUCGGCUUGAGUCGAGUUCAGUGGCCUACGGCUCUCAUUACAAAUAAAAGUAAAUGUAAAUAAGUAAAUGUUUUAGCAUUUUAAACAGACAUAAUCUUGUUUAUAAUACAGAAUUUUUAUGUUAUUUUGAUUUAUGACAAUAUAAGGUUGCUUAAUUACUUAUUAAUGAGGUUAGCAAUUACUUAAUUACCUGUUUGUUGUCACUUCCAUCUAGAGUCAUUGGAGUAGCUCAAACUGUUCAGAUCAAUCAUGGAUAAAACACAAACAUCUGGAAAUGAAGAUUUGUUUACAGGACAAAGUUCAGUUCAUCAGAAGAGAUCAGAUCCUGAACCCAGCCAUGUGUCUUUGAAGAGUGAUGCAUCUAUGCUUCAGCCAAUAAAGUUCAACAGUGGAGAAACACGGCCUGGACUCAGGUAUAACUGAGUUAUAUAUCAUUUGUAUGAAAUUUUAUUGUAGUAUGGUACUUAUCUUCUCAUGUGUUUUCAACAAGAAAUACAUUCUGUGCUUUGUGGCCCCCUAUACCCAUCAAAAAAAAAAAAAAAAAAAUCUCUCACAGUAGCCACCUAGGAGAGGAAUUAUUUUUCAGAAAUGAAAUUCAGGCCCUGAAUAAAUGUAUACAAAUCUUGAUUGGAACAUCACUAUAAAUACGUUAUCACUUCGACACACCAUUAGAUCUGGCUUCUGUUCAUACAGUGCUCAUCCUGGGUUGAACCCGGCAAUGUUACUAGGUCCCUGACCCGGGUUCAAUGCUGGAAUCAAUCCCGGGAUGCUUUCACACAGAUACACAAUAUGCCGGGUCGGACAUGCAGUGUGAAAGGGGCUUUACAGCGCACACACAUAAUAGACGCCAGGUUCACAGUAAUUAAUUAAUUAUUUUUCCAUGCUCAUAUUAAU